AUUGAACGCUGGCGGCAGGCUUAACACAUGCAAGUCGAGCAGGGUGAGGUGCUUCGGUACUGAUCCUAGCGGCGGACGGGUGAGUAAUGCUUAGGAAUCUGCCAUUUAGUGGGGGACAACAUUCCGAAAGGAAUGCUAAUACCGCAUACGUCCUACGGGAGAAAGCAGGGGAUCUUCGGACCUUGCGCUAAAUGAUGAGCCUAAGUCGGAUUAGCUAGUUGGUGGGGUAAAGGCCUACCAAGGCGACGAUCUGUAGCGGGUCUGAGAGGAUGAUCCGCCACACUGGGACUGAGACACGGCCCAGACUCCUACGGGAGGCAGCAGUGGGGAAUAUUGGACAAUGGGCGGAAGCCUGAUCCAGCCAUGCCGCGUGUGUGAAGAAGGCCUUUUGGUUGUAAAGCACCUUAAGCGAGGAGGAGGCUACCUGGAUUAAUACUCUAGGAUAGUGGACGUUACUCGCAGAAUAAGCACCGGCUAACUCUGUGCCAGCCGCCGCAGUAACAC
rnacentral:rRNA from 1 species